rnacentral:rRNA from 1 species
GGCAUGGAGUGCUGUCGCACGCCAUGUGGAUUAAAACGACUCUCGGCAAUGGAUAUCUCGGCUCUCGCAUCGAUGAAGAGCGCAGCGAAAUGCGAUACGUGGUGCGAAUUGCAGAAUCCCGCGAACCAUCGAGUCUUUGAACGCAAGUUGCGCCCGAGGCCAACCGGCCAAGGGCACGUCCGCCUGGGCGUCAAGC